GCCGCCCCUACUCUGCUCCAUCAUGUAAUUCCUCACCUCCAUUUUUAUCAUUUCAUGCAUAACCGCCAUAAACUCCGCAGUGAACCCAACAAAUCCUCCCCCUACUCCACCAUUUACCGCUCCCUGCUGCAUACCCGCUGCUACGGCAGGCCCCCGCCCCGCCCCCCCUGCCCGGGCUAGUGGAACAUGUUCUCAUGCUGCGGCCCCAAGA
rnacentral:misc_RNA from 1 species